rnacentral:snRNA from 1 species
AUAGAUGAUAUUCUUCCG